GACGAACGCUGGCGGUAUGCUUAACACAUGCAAGUCGAACGAGACAAAGGUGCUUGCACCUUUAGAAAGUGGCGAACGGGUGAGUAACGCGUGGGUAACCUACCCUAUGGAAAGGAAUAGCCUCGGGAAACUGGGAGUAAUGCCUUAUAAGAUAGAUGCGUCGCAUGGCGCGUCUAUUAAACGCUCCGGUGCCAUAGGAUGGACCCGCGUCCCAUUAGCUAGUUGGUGAGAUAACAGCUCACCAAGGCGACGAUGGGUAACCGGUCUGAGAGGGCGAACGGUCACACUGGAACUGAGACACGGUCCAGACUCCUACGGGUGGCAG
rnacentral:rRNA from 1 species